UGAUUGGAUGAUCUUAACAUAUGGAAU
rnacentral:sRNA from 1 species